AGUGGAGUGACGGGGGUUAGCCCUGGAGACUCCAGCCCCUUCUCCCCCAGUGCUGUCCGACCACAGUCGGAAAGCCGAAGCAGGAAAAGCGAACGCAAGCUACUGGUUGUUUUGCUACUUGGAUGAGGGAUGAUACGAAAAUAGUGGCUGCCUUAUAUCAAAUGGCUGAUUACUUGACCCUGAAAGAAGCCGACCAAAUACUCCCACAUGAUUGUCACUAUAGGCCACCAGUCUUUGCAUGUGGGCAUGAGCAGUGUUGUGUGUGCACGGACUUCCAAUCAGUGGAAGCUGCAGACUGCCUGUUGCCCUACGCUUGGAGGCAGCCAUCUGUCAGCUGAUGCUCAGUCGCCACGGCAAUCAGAACGCUCUGCGGCCGGUCCAAUCUGUUCCACCACAGGUAGGGCUGGGGGGGGGGUGGGGGGCGUCAUCAUUAUUCCUUCUCUCUAAUCCAUCCUUUUGUAACAUCAUCGCUCACUCCUCGCCAUCUUUUCUUCUUAACCCCUGUAUCAUUAUCCCUUGGACUCCCCUUUUCAACCAUGUUUUGAGCUCAUUG